rnacentral:lncRNA from 1 species
CCCAUGUUGCCCUAAUUAUGUUAGGGUAUUAUCAACAUAUUAUAUACAAUAACGGGCGAUAAUGAUAAUGCAAAUAUUACUUUAGGCAAACACAGAUGGCAAAUAAAGCGACUUGCUCCUGUACAUUGAGUGUGGUGGAUUGAUGCAUGUCUUGCUUCUGCACUAGCACAUGCAUUGCUGUCUCGCAAAAUUGUAAAUAAAUAAGUAUUCCUCCAUUCUAAAUUGCAGCUCAUUUUGUUUUUUUCUAAAUAUAUAGAUUUUGCUUCUACUUAGAUAUAGAUCAUGUCUAGAUACAUAGUAAAAUUUAUAGAUCAUGUCUAGAUACAUAGCAAAAUUAUGUAUCUAGAAAAGUUGAAACUGCCUAUAAUUUGAAAUGGAGGGAUUACUGAACUUUGUGCGCAUUUAUGGUUGAUGCUCGCUCGUCUGUUAGAUAUCUUUGCCUUAUUAGAACACACUGCUGAUGCGGACGCUUGCAUACUCAUUAUGUAAAAUAUAUGUACACGAUCUUAUCUCUAUGAUCAUCUACGUGAGACCAUACAUAUCCGAGCGCGUCAGAGAUUAGACUUGAGAUUGGCCAAGUCAAGGUAGGGUGGUCCUAAAGUCAUUUUUUCUUAAAGGGAGUAAUUAUUUUUCCGACUAAAAGAAAAAACAGAUACUCCGAUUGGGCUGGCCGCAACCUCAGAUUUUGUGAGCCGAUAUCCUAAGCGCAAUUUUGGAGACGUGAAAUGGUUGAACAAUCGUAACAUGGUACUCCCUCCGUUUUAAAUUGUAAAUCAUUAUAAUUGUAAAUCAUUAUACCUCCAUUUUAAAUUGUAAAUUAUUAUAUCUUUUUUAAAGUUCAUAAAUAUUAUUAUGGAUCUAACAUAUGCAUAGCAAAAACUAGUAAAUCAUUAUAUUAUUAUGGAUCUAACCUACACUAUAUCUAUGUGCAUAGUAAAAACUAUGCACAUAGAAAAAUCAAAACGACCUAUAAUUUGGAACAAAUCAAAAUGAAACGGAGGGAGUGUAUGCUAUAUGUAUGCUCUUUGCUAUUGCUCAAUAUAUCCCGAUUGACACUAACCAUUUGCGAUAGACGACUCAUCUUGUUUCGCUAUGAAUGAAGUUGCAGAGAUCAUCCAGAAUCUUGCUCUACCAGUGUCAAACUCUACGAAGUAAAAGUAGAAAAAGAAAGAGAUACCGUGGGGCGAGAGUCCAUAUGUAUCCAUUCUAGUUGCAAUUAGAAAAUUGACACGAUCAUUAGAUCUAGUUCUACAUUAGGACACCCAGAAAAGGAGAUUAGGGGACUUAAGCUCUUGGUUUAUACCUUCACUCGAGGAAGCCAUUGUGCUCAAGAUGAAGUUCACUGGCCUGCUUGAAGCAGGCGUGAGGAAGAAGCUCGGAGUGGACUAAGAAUUGACGUAGAGUUGACUGGCGUCGUCUCUGCGAGGGCGUCGGCUCGAAGUGAAGAGGCGGCGGUCUUCUCGCCGCUUCAGCGUUCUUUACAGAUCGGAUUAAUAGAUGGAUUUGAGGAUCUUUUACAGUGCACAAUACUAUCAGGGGUAGUGUAGAGUCUAGAGUAUUUUUUGGUAUGGGUAAAUUGUAAUUAGCACAAAAUAUAUUAUUGGGAUGUUUUUUUCCCACACACCGCACCAUUUUCCCGCACGCCGCCUCCCGUUUUUUCCCACACGCCGUGCUGUAAAAGGGUUGCUGCCACCGCCGGCUGCACACCGCACGCCGCCUCCCGUCGCUCGGGCGCCGCCACCACUGCCUCCAGAUUUUCCAAGCCGCUGCCGCCGCCGCUGGCCGCAUGCCGCACACUGUCUCUCGUCCGCUGCCACCACCGCCUCCAGAUUUUCCAGGCUGCCGCCACCGGCCGCAUGUCGCACGCCACCUCCCGUCAUUCAGGCGCCGCCUCCGGAUUUUCCAGGCCGCCGCCGGCGGCUCCUCACCAUUUUUCCGCACCACGCACGCACGCCGCCUCCCAUUGCUUAGCCUAUAACAUCCCUAGUUUUGGUUUAGUCCUUAAAGAGUCCAAUUGGAGUAUUGAAGGAUCAAGUAGCAUCUAAGUUUCAAACUUAUUAUUGUUUGAGCACGAUCACAUUUAAACACUCAAAGAAGUGUCACAUUAGAGGCUAAAUUGAUCAGAUCAAGUCGAACCCAAAGACUAAGUGGUAGAAAUACUCACCUAGAUUUGUUUUUGUGGUAAAAAUACCAAAAACCCAAAGGACCAGGUUGAAAUCUAAUCAAGCACUUGAAUGGACCAAAAUGCCCUUAAAAAGGCUUAAAUUGGGGGCAAUUCAUAAAUUCAGAUUUUGUUAAAUAACUCAAAGUUUUGCCAAUACAAAAUUUGUAUAACUUUUCAAAACACACAACUUUGCUUAUUUGAGCUUUUGCUAUUUUGUAGUGGAACCCUUUCAAAAAUCGAGUCAAGGAUCAGCUCAAUUUCAAACUUAUUUGAGCUUUUGCUAUUUUGCAAUGGAACCCUUUCAAAAAUCGAGUCAAGAAUCAGCUCAAUUUCAAACUCAAUUCAAAUUUCUCUAAGUCCUGAAAAACAAUUGUUUCUCCCUACUUUGUCUAUGGUUAUCUUCAAAUCCAAGAUAGUUUUGAACCCAAACCCUUUCUAAGAGUUGGAGUCUAAAGUAUGAACAAUAACUUCUACAUUUGGAAUUUCUCAACUUUAGUUUGAACGUUUGGAGAAAAUUCGGAAGGCGUUGAUCACGUCGUGGUCCUCAACGAAGGGGACCGAGUUCUUCUUCUCGGAGAACCGACGGAUAUAGCCUUGCAACAUCUCGUUCUUUUGCUGGCGGAUCUGACCUAGGAGCCUUUUGCUUCCAAGCCUUUCCCAGGUGCUGAUGUUGUUGCCGGUGAACAACAGAUAGAGUUGUUCCCAGUCGUCGAUGGCAUCACGCAGGAGCCUUGCCAACCAGUUGCGGCAGUCUUUGGUGAGCAUGAUGGGUAGGUAAUUAGCCAUCAUGUCGGUGUUACCCCUUGCCGCUUUGACAAUAGUAGAGUAUGUCUGGAGCCAUUGGGCGGGAUCAGACUUCCCGUCAUAUUUGUCGACGUCGGAAAGCUUGAAACCACGCGGCCAUGUGAGUUGGCGAAGUCUCUUGGUGAGAGAGAGAGGAAUCCAUCGUAUGACGGAGCCCUUCCCCAACCUUUACGGGAAUGACCGACUGGUCUUUCUCCAGAGGUGUAGCCAUCACAUGCGGAGUCCGAGUAGUCGGAUUCCUCAUAGUCGCUCUCCAACUCAGGUUCGGGUGUCUUGCCACGGCGUCCGCCCUACUAGGGAGGUCCGUGCUCUCGGUCGUACUACUCCCUGUGCUGAAUCUCCUCAUCCUCUCAGUGGGAGACACGAAUGUUGAUUGUGUGCCUUACAUCGCAUCCUCGGUAGAUCUGAUCGCGGAGGUCUUUGUCUCGCCGUGAACCAGAGCGUUGCGUCUUGGAAGUUCCACCACGCUUCUGUCGAACCGGUGGAGAUGGGUCCAUACGGUUGAUCAAGGUCGCAGCAGUCUAGACCAUCGCUUGCACUCGAGCCCAUCCUAGAGGGUUGGGAAGAAGUUUUGCGAGCUCUUCAUUGGUAGUGACAAGGUUCUCCUUUGGAGUCAUGUAAACCUUGUGACCACCGUACUCCAUGGUGAACUCCUGCUCGAGGUUACGGGGGCGAAGGGUGCGUUGCUUGCUGCCUCGCGACCUUCUCCUCCUAUCUCGGUGGGACUCAGCAUGGUCUCCAUCGCCGUUGGCAUUCUCAGCAGCGUUGAGGAUCUGUUGUCGCCUAACAGUGUUCUUCUGAAUGCAUUGUGCCUUGGCCUACUCCAUUUCCCCUCCACAGUUCAUUCAUCAUUAGAGACCGGUGCCACUGGAGCGACGACGUAAACGAAACCUGAGGGCGAGUUGUUUUCAGAGUCAUUAGUAGAUUCAACGAAAGUUUUCGUCUGGUCUUCAUCUUCUGCCUCUGGCUCUAGACCCAUCGCAAAUUGUGUCCAAGAGCACCCCUCCGAUAGCUGAUCUGGGUCGGUGGUGCAAUCCGUCUCCAUGCCUUCCUCCAGGAUUGGAAACAGGGAGUCGCUGGCUGGCGGAUGCCUAUUGAUAAUAGCCACGAUCUGCGGCUCGUCCUUAUCCGACUGGUCAUUGACCGAGUCAAAGAAGUUCAAUCUCGCCAUAGCUUCCCGCAUCGCCUCCUGGAAGGUGGUGGCGGCGCUCCUCAGUCCGUAACGGAUACGGAUCUGACGGGUCAAACCAGUUGGCGCCCCUCCGAGAGUAGACUCGCAGAGGGUUAUGCACUCGGCCAGUUGAGAUGCGAUCCGAUCCAUAGCUUGGACAAGAUUGUCAGUGGAGAGAGCCACGGAGGCUCCGUCCUUUCCUACUGUAGGGUACAGCAGAUUGUCGACCGGAACUCAUGGGUUCCUAGUUUGCUGCAGCCUACCGAGAAAUACUCGGUUAGCCUGGGCCUGGUUACCAAUCAGAUUGGAUCUGUUAACCAGAUCCAAGUCACCCAUGACCGGUACCGUAGCCCGAUCGGAGGUUUUGAUCUUCUCGACCGAGGGACUGGGGAUGAUGCAAGGCACCUCCCUGAUGAGAAGUUGGUCUCCGAGAGGGACCGAGUGGUUGGUCGCACAAUCGCUAGCGGCGGAGGCAGCAUGAUGUCCCUAGAAGGGAAUUGCUACUCCCAUCGCUGUGAAGAUGAUGCAGCUCUUGAGGAUCUUGAUAGUGUCCAUCAAGCUUGCCAACUGACAUGGCGAACCCCUACCUAGCGUGACAACUGUCGGGGGAAUAGUCUGGCAGUCUACCAUGAGGUAGACUAAGGUGGUAGAUUGUAUGGAGGGGAUUGCCGCACCUAGAGCUAGAUGGAUGAACACAAGGACACAAGGGACUUUACCAGGUUCGGACCACCAGAUUAGUGCAAUACCCUACGUCCUGUGCUCGGGGUUGUAUUCUUAGAGUGCAGCGUAUCGAAUAUGGCUUGGGUUUUUUAGGAGGUCCCUUAUAUAGUUCGGGGGGCAGGAUUACAAAUCUGAUUCGAUUUAAUCCUAGUUGGUUACAAGGAAAUCUGCUACCUUUCAGUAUUAAACAUGUCUAUUUAUAACUAUAUCUCUUGAUGCCGAUCCGUCAUCUUGAUCCGUAUGCUUAUCCCGAGUCCCCCUCGCAUGAGCCGCGAUACCCCCUUUGGAGAGUGGCUAGGCCAUCCGAGUAGUACCCGGGGUUAUAUCCCCCACAAACAUUAUCAAUCCCCUUUGACUCAUACAAAUAUGUGGAAGGUUUAUGUUGAACCCCUCGACACAUCAUAUAAAUAUGUGGAAGGUUUACGUAGAACAUGGUUGGUAUAAAUAGUCGUAACAAAAUAAUAUAUUGUGGAAACAUCCACUUUUAACCAACUCAACGUGUGUAUGAAACUAAGCAUACACUUUAUUUAUUUACGAGAAAUUGGUGAUCAAACAAUCUGCCAAGGCAGCUCGCUUACCAAGCAGCGAUGUCGACGGUCAACCCCACACGACCAUAAAAUCGGAUCGGAUUUAGAUGGAAUUGAACUCGGAUAGAACUUUUACCACAUUUUUACUCGAAUACGAAUUCGAAUUCGGAUGUUGUCGAAUGCGAAUGCAAAAUGAAUAACUUGAAUUCGGAUCAGAUAUCCACUUAAUUUGGGUCCCUUUAUUAAUAGUUUUGAAAGAACAAAAUCAACAUUAAACAUACAAUUAUAUGUAUGAAUCAAAUGUAACACAUUUAGAAAAAGAUUAUUCAUUAUUUUUUAUAAAACUAUUAUAAUAAAUUAAUAUAUAUUAAUAAUUAAAAUAAAAAGUUUAUAAAAAUAUUUAAAAAUAAUAAAAUAAACUAUUUGAAGUAAUUUAAACCAAAAAAUAUAUUAGUUUAAAAAAUAAAUCAUAAUAAUAUAUUUAUUGUUUGAUUUAGAGAAGUGAUUAUACUAUACGAAUACAGAUAUUAUCAGAUAUCCAUCCACAUCCACAUUUAUUAGAAAAUGAAUUCGAAUGUAUUCACUUAAGGUUCUACAUUCUAAAAUAUUAGAAACGAAUGCAUAUAUGAAUAUCCAUAUAUGAUACUUUAACGGAUAUGAAUUCGAAUUAUUUGGAUAUUCGUUAAAUUCGGAUUAUUCGGAUAUACGCGUCCUAGUUUCUGCCCUCGUAUACGGGAGCGCUGCAGCUAUCCUGCCAAGCAGAGAUGUCAAUGGUCAGCCCCGCACGCCCGUAAUCGCACGUACCGGAGCGCUGCAGCUCUGGUCAGCUCCAUUCCAAUUUCCAGACGCCCUCUCUGCCUCCAUGCUGGAGCAGGAUCUGAUGUGGAUGGAGCAGGACCUGUUCCAGUGACGACGCAGCCCUUCUGGUGCCACGCGCAGGCCACAUGGCAUCCGAAUCAGCCGUUGGCGCGCGCCUCGAUCCCCUCCGUCCGUUCCCUCCCCGACGCUUCUCCCUGCCACAUCACCCCUCUCCUCCCACCUUCCUCCCCACCGGCCUCGAGUCGCCCGCGCGAGAUCUGCCUUCCGCCGCGGGCCCGCGGCCACAUGCCACACAACGACGCCCGACGAGCUCCCCCGCGAUCGAGGUAGGCCCGCCGGAACCCGAGGAGGAUGGAGGUGGCGGGCGGCGGCGCGGCGGACGAGCGGUGGGCGUCGCUGUGCAACUGCGUGGUGAACUUCCUGCUGGAGGAGCGGUACCACCUCACGGCGUUCGAACUGCUGCAGGAGCUGCAGGAGGACGGACGCCACGCGCACGCGCUCCGCCUCCGCGCCUUCUUCUCCGACCCGGCGCUUUUCCCGCCCGACCUCGUCGCGCGCGCAUCCUCCGCGCCGCCCGGUACGUUCCACGCACCCCAUUUCCCCGUCUCGCACCGCGCUUCGCCUCACGCUGUGACGCUCCCACUCUGGUCCGGCGGCUCGCUGGCUGGAUCUCGCAGGAUCGUGCCCGCCAGUGCUGCCUCCUUUGUAAUUGGGCCCUUCUGUCUCUCGGACGUGCGUGCCCAUCCAGCUCCGUUUCUCCGUAAUCUGAUUUGAAAUCAAACUCUGUUCCACUCUGUCCUUUUCCUUGGCGUCGGUGUUACAUUGGUGAUUGUACAGCUCUGUUCAGUUGGUGUAUGCAUUUUGGCGCUCAACUGGCAUUUUUGACGGACUUUUGGUUGGCGUCCACGGCUGUUAUCUGGAGUGCUGUAUGUAUUCGUACUAACUACUUCUAUCAUAUGGAGAAGUACAAAAAAUGAAGCUUCAAGUGAACAAAGGUUGCUGAAAGAAACCAUUGGGGGCAGAUAUUUAUGUCAAAAUUCUAACUUUUAUGAUGGUUUCUUUAAUGUUUUUUUUCCUUUUUAAACCGAUUUACAUUCAUUCAAUUGCCAACAGCGAUGGGGUCAUGCCAUCUGUAGAGUAGCAGCACAUAUACCUUUUAUUGUGUGAGCUCUGAUGACCGGCCGAUCCUACUUAGUAGGAGGUAUGGAAAAGGAGAAAACGCCACAUAAAUGUAUGGGGCAUGUGUUUUUGAGUGGCGUUUUGUCAGUUGGAUAAAAUCCAGCGGCGUUUGACCAUGACUUACAAAUGUAGGCUCUAUUCAUGCUUUUAGAGUCUUUCAUUUCAUAACAUAACCAGUUGCUGAGAAAUUAGAUAAGUGCAACUAGUCGCUUGACCAGGCUCAUUUAACUAUCCUACUCGGCUUAGUUAUUAAGCUUUUUGGUCAGUCCAGGCACCUAAAUAUUUUCUUGGUUAUCAGCUUUAUUACAGAAGCAUUGAGAUGAUUCAAUAUAUGUUUUUGUUGACAGGUGCAGAUCCACAGAGUUUGUUAGAAGAGAAAAUAGCAGCACAAGAAAAACUUGCACUUGCAGAGUAUGAUCUGCGACUAGCCAAAGAAGACCUUUCACAGUUGAAGCUUGAGUUACAAAAGCAAAAAGAAUCAUCUCCUGAAGAUUCAAAUGGUUUGUGACCUUGAAAUUAUGGACAAUGUUAUACACAGCAUUACAGUAUGAUGUACCUUUUUAUGCUGCAGUGCUGAACGAAAACAACCAGUUUUGGUCUCAGUUUUUGGAUUAAGAUUUCCUUUCUUUUUUGCGCCUUUACAUUGCUUUGAGUGGAAUAUGACACAUCUGCACAAGAAUAGACUUUGCUUGCUGCAUGGAAAUUUGGAAUUUAUAUGGUUCAGAAUACAAUGAAAAGAUAUUGAAGGCUUGCAAUUUAUGCGCCUUGUGCUUAAGGCGUCUGUUUGAGUGCUGUCAAUAAACAAAACUAAACUGGGCAGGCUGUACCAGCUUUGGUCACUGUGCCAAUAACUGUACUCAAGUCAUAUAUGAUAUUGUAUCAGAAGACCCCCAAUAUAUUUUUUGUUAUAAAGAAAGUAUAUAUUCCACCUUAUAAGAUGUGCUUAUAUCCAUUUGUGUUACUGAGGUUCAUAAGCAGAUAAGUGAUAGCUUUGUCUAGAACCACAGUUUGCUUGACAUGAUUCAUAUAUUUGGCAUACAGGGCUCCUUUUGGGUGAUUCUACACGUGAAGGAUCCAUUAGCCAACAGGAUAAACGGGAAGUGAAAAUUUCAGCAUUAGGCCCUCUAAAGGAUAAUGAACGAAAAGAUCUUAACUGUGCUGUAAAAGAAUACUUGCUUUUGGCAGGGUAUCGACUUGCAGCCAUGACAUUCAUUGAGGAGGUCUGUAUUAUCUAUGUAGUACCUUUUCCCUUGUACUGUUGUAACUUAUGUUAAUGUUUACCAGCUUGUGAUUUUUUCCCCUUAAAUAUUUCUUGGAUGUUGAUAUUUAGUGGGUAACGACACUAUUUUGAUGUGGCCAAUUAUAAUAGUUUUAUGUAUAUUGGCGGUCGAAGUUAAUAUUUCUGAUCAGAAGGAUUAUUUCCUUAUCCAUGAUUUGUACUCUCAAUCAUCUUAAUUGCAGGUUCCUGAUCAAGACCUUGAUGUUUGGCCAAACAGUUCAGCUUGUGUUCCUGAUGCCCUUCGUCGUUACUACUAUCAGUACCUUUCAUCUACUGCAGAGGCUGCAGAGGUAAUUAUCGACAUCAAUGUUGAAACUUGUGUCGAACUACAGAUUGAUGCAUUACAGUGUCAUAUAUAGCCGCGCAUAGAUAUAAGUAAUGCAUUAGAAAUUUCUCUUUCCUGUAUCAACCCCCUGCUAUUUGUAGGAAACAUUGAUGCCUUAUUGAUUUUGAAGAAUCUAUCAACAGAAAACUUUACCAUUGGUUACGUCGGGGCCAGAACAAAGUUCAUGGCAUAGUUCUGUUCAACCUUUUUCAUUAUCACUUCAAAAGUUCAAGUUUCACUUUAUCUUGCGCUUUCACUUGGAAGCAUAGAGCUUCUAAACUGUUUCUUUCAAUUUUGUAACGUAUUGCAGGAAAAAAUAUCCAUACUUCGGGAAAAUGAAACAUUACUUAAGGACAAUGAGCGACUCAAUGCUGAAAAGGACUCUUUGACCAAGAGCAGGGAAGCGGCUAAUAGUCAGGUUGCUGCUUUGAGGAAAUCUUUGGAAGCUGCGCACAAGGAGAUAAAAGAGAAGGAAAAAAUGGUAAUAUUCUCUUGGAAAUCAUGAUCCAAUGAUCAAUAGUUUUAUGUUCUCUGAACUUUCCUAACCUUCAUUUGAUUAAAGGUUCAAGACUUAAGGCAGUCACUGGAUGUCCAGAGGAAAGAGCUGAACGACUGCAGAGCUGAAAUUACAGCCCUUAAGAUGUAUAUUGAAGGGGCUCAAUCAAACAAGCAAUUGUUUGUUGGAAAUAGUGAUGAUCUGGAGUCGCAUUCCAUCGCUAACUCUAUGGGAGAAGCAGCAACAUUGAAUAAUAAAGAUGGAGACUCAAAAGGAUCUGAAUCCAUAACAAAUAAGCUAGGAUCGGCAGUCAAUCUAACUGAGGAUACACAGAAAGAUCACCAAGUGAUAGAAAAUAGUGCUGAAGGUCCCUCAGUUUCAGAAGCUCCAGUUUCUUGCUCAUCUCAUGAGAAUGGAGGCUAUGGUACUUCAGAAGAAGAUAAAUCUAUGUCGAAUAUCUCAUCAGAAAAUGUAACUCUUAAUAGUAGUCUGCAUGGAGCUUCCAUGAUUGGUAAAAUCCAGGAGAGUUCAGAUGGCAUAUCUGUGUAUUUAUCUACUGAGAAACUAGAGAGCCCAAGCAAACAAAAAUCUUCAGAUAAGAUGGUUAGUGUCCUAGUAAUUCUGCUUUGUCUAUAAAGUACGCUUGUUUACUUCUAUUGAUACUCCUUACUUUUCCUGUAGGCUCUGGAGACUAUAAAGAUAGUUUCAGAUGCACUUCCAAAGAUUGUACCAUAUGUGCUCAUAAACCAUCGUGAGGUUUAUUUGUAACCUUUGUAGCUUGCAUCCAUAUCCAUUUAAGUACAACUAAUGUUACAUAAUUCUACAUGGUUACAGGAACUUCUUCCAUUGAUCAUAUGUGCUAUAGAAAAGCAUCCAGAUAGCGAUGUACGGGAUUCCUUGACUCAUACAUUAUUCAACCUGAUAAAACGGCCUGAUGGACAACAAAGACGCAUCAUAAUGGAUGUAUGCUGCUAUGAAUGUAAAUUGUAGCAUCAUAUUUUUUUCAUAUUUAUAUCUGUUUUCCUUGUCAUAUGGCUGCAGGCUUGUGUUGAGUUAGCUAAGAGUGUUGGUGAGAUGAGGACAGAAACUGAGCUACUUCCUCAAUGUUGGGAACAGGUAUUUUACAUUUUUGUGAUAGGUCUUCUAGCUUUCUUUAGCGCAUGAUCUUACAUUUAUUAAUCUAUUGGUGUUUAGAUAAAUCAUCAAUAUGAGGAACGCAGAUUGCUUGUUGCUCAAUCGUGUGGAGAACUUGCUGUGUAUGUUCGCCCAGAGAUUCGAGAUUCCCUCAUUUUAUCUAUUGUGCAACAACUUGUCGAAGAUGCUGCAACAGUUGUAAGGGAAGCUGCAACACAUAACCUGGCAUUGCUUCUUCCUCUGUUUCCAAACCUGGACAAGUAUUACAAGGUCAGCCUCACUUAUAUAAGUACAAAUUUGAUUUCACAAGAUUAGCUAAAUUUAAGCUAUGGACAAGGAUAGGAUAUUUUGUUUAGUUCAGAAUUGAGAACUUGGAGAGUUACACAUAACUGAAUGUAAUAUUAUUGCUCAUAAGUCCACUGGUUCCCUUUGCUUUUUUAUUUGUAGGUUGAGGAACUAAUGUUCCAAUUGGUCUGUGACCCCUCUGGGGCGGUUGUGGAAGUCGCACUCAAGGAGCUUGUUCCUGCUGUAGUAAGAUGGGGAGGUAAACUGGAUCAGAUAUCAAGAGUGCUAUUGGCUCAUAUCCUGGCAUCUGCUCAGGUAUGCUUUCUCGUGAAUAUUGAGAACUUUCUAUUUUCUAUUAAUGAUGCGUGUCCUUAUAGUCCUUACAACCUGUUAUGUUUUUCAGCGGUGUCCACCUAUUUCGGGGGUUGAAGGUACAAUAGACUCUCAUCUUCGUGUUUUAGGAGAACAAGAGCGCUGGAACAUUGAUGUCCUCCUUCGAAUGUUGACUGAGUUGCUACCAUUUAUUCAUCAGAAAGCUAUAGAGACUUGCCCCUUUGCACCAGUUGAUCCAACAGGCUCUACACCAGAAAACUUCUUCUCAGCAUCCUGCCUAAAACUGUAUUCAACGUAAGUUCUUCAUUUUGAUCUUAUCUUUUAAUUACUCUAAACAAGAAGUAUCAGAUAGACUUUGCGAACAAUAAAAAACGUCUUUCACUGAGUCAUCGCAUCUUGGGGAACUUGACAGAGGUGACUCUGAGUGGUCAGCAUUUGAGUGGAUGCACACUGAUUGCCUGCCUGAUUUAAUCAAGCUUGCCUGCUUGUUGCCUGUGAAAGAGGAUAACUUAAGAACCAUUAUCACGAAGGUAAAAUCUAGCAACCACACCUCCCAUACAAAUUGGACUAUCAUCAGGUUUAGUUCUGAUCAAUCAUUUCUGGAUAAUUUAGUACCUUUUGGAAGUAUCUGGGUGCUACGGUAAAGAUUAUUUGGAGCACAUCAUGCUACCGGUAUUUCUUGUAGCAGCUGGCGAUAUUGAUAGUGGUGAUUUUACCUAUUUUCCUCUGUCAAUCCAGCCAAAAGUUCGUGGUAAGACCACAUCUACUUAUUAGAUGAGGCAGUUUGAUAUAGUUGCAUUUUUCAUUCCUUUGUAUUGAUUGUAUUACAGGCUUGCGUCCGAAAACUUCAACUGCUGAAAAACUUGCGAUCAUGUGUGUGUUCCCAUUGUUGUUGUCUGGUAUUUUGGGUUCUCCUUCCAGCCGUCAACAGUUAGAAGAAUAUCUGAGAAAAGUACUUAUCCAAAACACCAAGGAUGGUUCAUUUUCUAUGCAUCAUACUACAGAGAUUAUUAAUGCAGUUCGGUUUCUUUGGUGAGUAAUUAGAGUAAUUGAAAACAUGUUGCUGCACAUGAUUUGUUUUCAUGGAUCUGACUUCUUAUGAUUGUAGCUUAUUUGUGGAGCACCAUGGAGUUAUCUUCAAUAUUUUGUGGGAGAUGGUUGUGAGUUCAGAUACCAGCCUGAAAAUAAAUGCUGCAGCUCUACUGAAAGCACUUGUAAGUUUUCUGUACAUGAAUGAUUCAAUGAUCUUCAAUGUUGUUUAUGAUAUUCUUAUUUGCUUUAACACACAGGUACCCUACAUUGAUGUGAAAGUUGCAUCUACUCAUAUUUUGCCAGCACUUAUUACUCUUGGCUCUGAUCAAAACUUGACAGUAAAAUAUGCUAGUAUAGAUGCAUUUGGAGCUGUUGCUCAGCACUUCAAAAAUGACAUGGUAAAGAAUGAUUCUUAUUUUCUUCCUUUAAAUUUUACAUACUUUGUGUAUUUCCUUUUGUCCUUAACUCUUUGACAGGUUGUUGACAAGAUACGCAUUCAAAUGGAUGCUUUCCUUGAAGAUGGAUCGCAUGAAGCUACUAUUUCUGUUAUUCGUGCACUUGCAGUGGCUGUGCCUCAUUCAACAGAUAGGCUACGUGAAUAUAUCCUGCUCUUUGAAUUCCAUGUUUACAUUUUGACUUAAAUUUUGCACAUCUUUUGCUUGCCUUUUGUCCAUUUGCCUUUUGUUUUCUUUGACAUGACAUACAUCUUUUAACCAAGAUAUUUAAGCUGACGAGCAUCACACCUUCCGGCGAUGAUAUUGAACGGCGUCGUGAAAGAGCAAAUGUAUACUGUGAAGCGCUGCGGGCUCUAGAUGCUACAGGUUGGUCUGACCUGAGUAUAGCAUUCCUUCCCCUUAAUAUACAUGCCACAACUGCCUUUCAAGUCUGCCUGGAUCUUUAUCGUUGGCAUUGUUAAUUCCAAGGUUUAGAUAUUCUUUGAGGGCUAGAAACCAGAACCUGCUUGGUUCCACAGUUUUCAUCCCAGAUUACACAUAACUCCGAAAGAACUCUUACUAUGGAAAACUGGGUCGGUUUCUGGCACCAAAAGUAGUUGUUUUGUCUCAAAUUUCAAUUAUCAUUUUUUUUAGUAUUGGACGACUGCAUUUUGGAAAACUGAACCCUGCGGUUUCCCAACCUCUGCUAGUACCUUAUUUGUAUAGUUCAAUAAUAUUUUGAACAUAUCUUCCCAUCAUUCACAAACUAAAAAACGCUGUUAGAAACUAUGCUAUGCUUGGUUUCAUUUGUACGGACUAAAAUAUGCCAUCCUCAAUUUAUGUUUACUGUAUCUUUUUUGUCCUUGGUCGUUGCAGAUCUUCCAGCAACAAGUGUACGCGAUCUGCUUCUGCCAUCAAUACAGAACUUGUUAAAAGAUCCUGAUGCUCUAGACCCUGCACACAAGGAGGCAUUAGAAAUCAUAGGCCGUGAACAGUCGGGUGGUACACUGGAAAGCCUCAGCAAGGUAAUGGGGGCGCAUCUUGGGAUCGCAUCCUCCGUCAGCAGUUUCUUUGGUGAGAGCAGCCUCCUUGGGAAGAAAGAAGGUGGCGAGCAACAUGACCCUGCUACCACCGCUGCCCCUGAUCCCAAUCCGCAGGCUCAGCCGGAGAGCACUAGGUUUGGUCGUAUAAUGAGGGGCGGCUUCGGAGAUAUUUUGCGAGGGCAAAGCAAGGGACAGUGAUGCACCGGGUUUUAAAAUGAUCAGUUACAUACAUAGCAAUCAAUACCACAUUCUUUGUUCGUUGUUGUAGUAAGGUUACGGAGGAAUGGAAUUUCCAUGCCGAGAGAAAAGUAAUGUGACGUUACUGCAGUAAUCUAGCACCAAAAUUCCUGUAUAGAAGGAAAGAUAUAGCAUUUUGCACGUAUUCAAUUAGCUGCAUAUUUCUAGGACUCUAGUUGCUGUAUCUUUGUUCCAUUUGUUCAUAUCAAUAAAAGAUAAAAACUCCACGGUAUCAGACACUGUCAAUCUUUCCUGAAUUUGGAUGCUAUGGUCAGCUGACGUCAUGUAAUUCCAGCGGUUGUUUUGUAAGCAAAAUAUGAUCUGGUUCGACAAUAAAAAUGUCUAUCGGGCACAAUAAUUGUAUGAAACGCAAAUAAUUGUCGAUCUAAACUACAAUGAUCACAAUGUACAUGGACGGAAAAUAAAAUGGAAACAUAAAUAUGAUAGAAUCAUAGACGCAUAUGAAGAAAAAGAUGUCUAUCGGGCCUAGAUGGGCUGCCUUGUUUGCAAGACCUAAUUCGUUCCGUGAGGCUCUGCUGCUCUGUUUCACUGUUUGUGUGGGAUGCCGGCCGGACUCGUUCGCUCAAAAUGGCGAGUGCUCCGCGGCCGCCGCCGGCGUCUAGCCUGCUUCGUAUCCUCUCCUCUCACCCCUCCCUCUCCACCGCCAUCCAUGCCAUCCUACUCAAGUCCUCCUCCCUCUCCAAACCCAUCCCGAUCCCGGCCACUGCCCUCCUCACAGCCUACGCAAACGCGGGGCUCCCAGGCGCCGCGUCCCGCAUGUUCGACGAAAUGCCGCGGCGGGAUACCGUCGCAUGGAACGCACUCCUCGCCUGCCUCGUCCGACACGCGCGCCCCGCCGCUGCCGCCGCCGCGUUCCGUGGCAUGGCCACCUCCGGGUUCCCGCCCACGGCCGCCACCCUCUGCACCAUGCUCAAGGCUUGCUCCGCGUCACGCGCCUUCCGCCCUGGCCGGCAGCUCCACGCGCGGAGCGUCAUCUCGUGCCACGGCGACGUCAUCAUGGAUACGGCCCUUGUUGAUCUCUACAUGAGCUGUGGUCUCGUAGAGGAUGCCUUGAGGGUGUUUAUGCUCACGAAGUACCCAAAGGAUGCCGCACUGUACAACGCUGUUCUUUCAGGCUGCGUGGAGAAUGGCUGGUUUAGGGAGGCUUUCUCGAUGCUGAGGUGGACUGAGCUCAAUGGAAUUUCGCUGACUUGUGCUCUCACGGCCUGCUCAGCGACAGCAAACUUGGCUUAUGGUAUGCAGGUGCAUUGCAAGGUUCUUCGUUGUGGGUUUGAUUCUGACACCAUAAUAUGCAAUGCGCUUAUUGACAUGUAUUCAAAAUGUGGGAGGACAAUGGGUGCACGGAUAGUGUUUGACCGGAUGGCUGGCAGAAAUGUGGUUUCCUGGUCAAGUAUGAUUGAUUCUUAUAGUCACCAUGGGUAUGGUGUGGGUGCUUUAGAUUUGUUUAAGAUGAUGGAGAAAGCCACACCAAUGGUCUUGCCAAACGCUAUUACAUUUCUGGCAGUUCUGUCAGCCUGUGGACACUCUGGUCUUGUGGAUGAAGGUCAGUCCAUGCUACAUUUGAUGAAAAGCAAGUACGGCAUUGAUCCACAACCAGAGCACUAUGCAUGUUUAAUAGACAUGCUAGGUCGUGCAGGACGUAUUGACGAGGUGUGGGAUCUAUAUUGUAGAUUAACUGCAAGACGAAAUAAGUGUCCAAUUGCCAUCUAUGUCGCUACGUUGAAUGCAUGCAGAGCGAACAUGGAUGUCGUAAGAGGAAAGAAGGUAGCCAUGCACAUGCUGGAGGUUGACCCACAAAAUCCUGGGAUUCAUGUGUUGAUAUCAAACUUUCAUUCUGCUAUUCGACAAUGGUUUGAAUCAGAUGAAUCACGGAGGGUUAUGGUGGAAAAGGGUCUCAGGAAAGAAGCAGCUAGCAGUCAUGUCUCUGUUGGCUAAAAACUGAUUUUGUAUAAAUCUUGAAAGCAGCUGCCACUGAAAGUGUGGCAAAGCUUGGAAACUAUGGUGGCCGACCAAAUUGGCCCUUAGUCCAAGUAAAUGCCACAGAUUGGUAUAUCAAGAGUUUAGGGACAAUUUUUCUACCUUAUUAAUGCCAAAUGGUGCAGCUGCAUCUACCAUACUUGUGUUAACAGAAAUAUGCCACUGUAAUCAUAAUAUUCAUUUGUGCAUAUUGUCACAUUUCUUGCCAUGCUCACUGUUGUGAGGUUUGGCAUGAUUAUUAGGUUCCCCCUUUUUUUCUUGUCUUACUAUUGUCUAAGUCAAGGAUGAACUGCGGAAGAAUAUACUUCUUGUAUAAACAAUACUUGAGAAUGGAUUUGAAGACUCUGUUGAUUCAUCUUUUUAACCUGAUAUGUGUUAUGGCUCCCAAACUCUCAUAUUGCCAGUUUCACCACAUCUGAUCCUUUUCUUGGAUUACGGUUCAGUAAACAAAUGAAAUUACAUAUCAACUGCUUUACUUUUUUUAUUGCUAGGGAUAGCUUAGCCAUGUGAUGAGUUCUUUAUGUUGUUUUCAUUGCAAAAUGAUGGAUCUCCUUCCAGUUCCGAGUAUGGGAAUUUAAAGACACGAAAAAUCUCCAUUCUAUGUAGCAUCUGGGAGAUAUACAUAAUAUUUUCAGGAACAAGAAAAUCAGGAUAAUUUCUCUCUAUUCACCACCAUUUCGAGUCUUUGACUUAUGUUAGUUUCUUUUUCUUCUUUAGUGCAAUAGCUAUAGCUUGAUAUAGAAUCCAUUUCUCAAAGUAAUGAAAAUCAUUUCUAAAAAAAAGUAAUGAAAACCAUAAUCUUAUAGGAAAUGGUUCGAAAGACACUAUUCCAUCUUUUAUGUUUAGGUAUCAUGACUUCUCUUUUAUUUUGAACUCUUUUCCCUAAUAGAUCUUUGAAUAACUACUCCCUCUAUCCCAAAAUACUACUCGUUUUGGCUUUUCCAUAUACAUAUAUCUUGUUAUGUAUCUAGACAUAAGUAUAUAUUUAGGUACAUAUCAAAAGCUAUGCAUCUAGAAAAUUCAAAAUGAAUAGUAAUUUGGAACGGAGGGAGUAUAAUCUUCUGCUUGGGCCAUAAUAAAAUCCUAUUCCAAACAACGUCACGAGCAGAUUUUCCUGUUUUGCUAGCGAGUAUGUUAUCUACUAACGGAAUAAGGAGCUUUGCUAUUAUAGUGGAUUUUCAAGUUAGCAUCAUCUACACUCUAUUUGGUUUAUAUUUUUUAAUAUAUAUUGCUGCAUCGUGGACAAUAAUAAUAUUGAGGAAUUUCCUUAUUUACCACCGAGAAAACUUGUAAUCCCCCGUAUGCCAUCCCCUUGUGAAAUGAGACUAAGGCCUCCUACUUGGCUUUCUUGAUCAACAACAAAACAAGAGCACAGUUCCCCUUUUUUCCAGAAAAAAAGGAGCUGAAAAUUUGAGAUAGGCUUAUUUCUAAUCACUCAAACUUUAUUGAAUGUUGUCGAAAUGUUGCAUUGGAAAGUAAGAGAAUGCUUUUAUAAGGACAUGCUAGUUUAGUUUGUAAGAAUCCACAGAUUGACUGAAUCCAGGAACAACAAAGCUGCACAAGUCCGCAAAGCUCAACAUACUUCUGGUUUGUGGAGCUUUUUACUGAACAUGUGCCUAUGUGCUUGUCCAUAAGGUAUGACCUUGGUGUGUACAAGGGUCCUUAAACUUUUUAAGUGGGACUUGCUUCCAUUAUUGAUCUCAUGAUGUUUCUCAAGAUCCGAACUCCUAAGGUAUCAUUAAAAAGAAACACCCCCAAGGUAUCAUUGUUUUACUUCUUUCCACCAAGAUAACAUCUUACUGAAAACUUUUUUUGGAACGAACGGGCACGAGGCGGUGCCUAUUUCAUUGAUAGAGUAGGAAAAAACAGAGGGAGACCCGACAGAUCGGGAAGGAAAAGAAAUACAAAAGGAAGGCAAAAAGGCCAAAAUGGGACUACUCGCGUGAUAGAAGAAUCGCUAGAUCUUUGGCCCCUGCCAAAAGCCAAGCCGAGGUCUCAUCUUUGAUUUUCAUCAUUAGGGUUGUCGGUGAUGUUUCGUGGCGAUUGAAAAUACGUGCGUUCCGCUCCUUCCAGACUUCCCACAUGAUUAGGAGGGCGAGGCUUCGUAAAGCCUUGCGAGGCGAGUCCGGUGUUGUGGUGAUAGCUGUCCACCACUCCAGAGCGUUGGAUGAAGGUCGCCAUUCAGUUGGUCGUAGGUUAGGCUGCGCUAGCCAUAUCGCCGUUUGAUCCCAGAUUUUCCGUGUGUAUCUGCACUCAGCUAAAAGGUGGUGUCCGGUCUCCAUAGUGGAUCGGCACAGGACGCAAGUUGCGUUGUGUGGCCAGCCCCGCUUGGCCAAUCGAUCAGCUGACCAGAUUCGGUUCUGUGUAAUUAGCCACGCGAAAAAUUUGCACUUUGGUGGUGCCCAAGAUUUCCAGAUGGUUGAUAUGUGCGGUGUUUCGGUGCAGUCCAGGAAUUGUGCUUUAUAUGCCGAGGCCGUUGUAUAUAUUCCUGAUUCUGUCAGCUUCCAAGUGAUAAUUACAUCUUACUGAAAACUGAUCCUACUGUUCUGUAGUAAUGCAAAAACAAAAGUGUCAGAUAUUACUGCUACUGCUUUAGUUUGUUUUGUGUUUGAUUUUGGACUCCAGAUGCCUUUAGAUUCAUUUUUAUAGGAAGCCUAGUUGGCUACUAAAUAGGUGUGGUCCAUGGCGGCCCUACAUCUUUUCAUAGAAGGUAUGUAGCAUCAGUGUGGCGAUCUUCUGCUUUAACAAUCAUGUCAUGCUGAUUCUGGACAUUUCGUACUUCCCGCGCCUAAAUGGGGUUCCAUCUCCAUGUGCGUUUGCUGCUCCCUGUUGAAAUGUCAUCUUCACUGUGACAUAAUCUCAAUAUUUAAACAUCAUUCAGCUGUGUUAUUUUAUUUGCACCAUCGAACCCUAUAUUUAUUGCUGAAUAUUUCCACAGGGCAUCGCAUCUACAUGUACUGUAGCUUCUGUAUUGCGGACAUUAUUCAUUAUUCUGAAGGAAAUUAGUGGUGAAACUGAGCUAUAUUAACCUCAGGAUGAAUGGUCAUAUCCUUUCUUUGGUCCAAUAUAUGAUAAGCUAAAGUGGUGCCAGCUGGAAAGAAACCCAAUUGCAUUCAUAUGAUUCGAUUUGAUGAUACGUAGAUAUGAAACCAAACCUUCAAGUGCAAUCACUCAAAGCUCACUGCGCCAACAGGAUAUAUUGACAGAAGAUCAUUCGUGGACUCAGUCGGUGUGAUCCAAGUGCACAGUUACCCUGUUUGGUUCUUCCUUAAACGGCUUUGUUUGUAAGCCAUUGGUAUUACUCAAGUGACCAAUCUCGUCCUUGCCAAAGCUAUGAUAUCACCCUCCAAUUAUUGAUAUAUACUUGAGUUUUCACAUAUAUGAACUGAUGAAAGCCAUACACUACCAUUUGGUCCCUUGCAGAUUGGCGAUACAUGAAUGGGACAUGGUCCUUUGCCCCCACAUGUUGCUGCUGCUUUGCCAACUGACUGCUGGACUGUUGAAACUUUGUUGUUGCAGAGACUUGGGUAGGUCCCCACUCCUGCUACACACAGUUCCCACAAUGUCUGAUUCCUCUCUGAUGUUUCUUGGCACCAGAAGCCACCCUUUUGCACUAUGGAACUUUUCCGAAUAAAGCAAUCUGAUGGUAGUUUUCUUCAUGGAAAAUCCUCUAGUUUACCUGAAGGUACAAGGAAAUUAAAAUUUGCAGCGACAUGAUGAAUUCUGAUGGGUGUUUAAGUGUUUGAGGCACUUUCAUGAUGUUGCAUACCAUUUAUUAUUUCAACUUUUCAAGUACUACCAAUAGAUGAUAAUUUAGCCUUACUGUCUCUGAUAGUAUGUCUGUGCCCCCCAACUCCCCAAUCAUUUAUGCCUUGCCCUCAUGGGCCCUCCAUUAAUAGAAGGUGUUUAUGCACUCCAGCUUGUUUGGUACAUGUGCACUGAAUAUAUCCGAUUUUAUAUAUCACAUCAGGAAAGUUCAGAAGCCUAGUCUUUGCCGGUUGCCGCCUCGUCCAUCUCCAUCUUCUUAUCCAGUAAUCGCAAUUUCCUCCUAGCUUUUAACUUAACAAUGAUAUUCCUUCGGUGCCAAGGCAUUAUGUUUACAUAUUCAUCAUUUUCUUCUCCAGGUUAAGACUGCAUAUGAGCAUUUGUCCUUUUGCUUGCAAGGUACAUCGCAAAUAUUUCCAGUACCAAACAUCUACAUUUCUUUCACCAUUCGAGAGGCUAAAAUGUUGCUUCUUGUUGCAUGUUGGACACCACCACACUGCUCCCAUGGGGGGCUCAUGUUGAUAAUGUUGCUUUCGCGCCAGGUGGUACUGGCUGUUACCUGAUGAUAUGUCAUCUUGAUUUUAGACUCAGGUGGCUUAUAAUCAGAUGGCUCCUUGUGAAUAAUCAUCUGAAGGGACUCCUCACAGAGAAUUUGGAGGCUGUCAGGUUCCUAAACUACUUGAAAGAUCAUCGAAUCACCCAUGGUAGAUAUUGUGUACCAAAGGAUAACGGACAUCUAGAUAGAUGAACGUCCCAGCUCCUGAGUCCUUGGAGAGGUCUCUGCUUUCACCUAGAGUAGUUCAGAAUAGCUGGCUCGGUAGGUCUGCAAGGGUCAAUGCCAGUCAUGCAGACCAUAAAUGCAAUUAUAUACUCCCUCCGUUCCAAAUUGUAGGUCGUUUUGACUUUCAAGAUGCAUCUAGAUAUAGUGUAUGUCUAAAUGCAUAAUAAUAUAAUAAACCUUAAAAAAUCAAAACGACCUACAAUUUGUGAUGGAGGGAGUAUCAUUUAGAGUUAGACAUCCUAGAGUAGUUCAGCAUAGCUUGCCCGCUAGGAGAGUCCUAAAGACCAUAAUUGCAAUUAUCAUUCUUAGUGUCAUCGCUAUUAUAUAGUGUUAGGUGGUCGUUAUUAGUUAAAACACAAUUAGGAAUCAUGGACACAGGUAACCAACAUAUAGAAAAAGUUGUACAAGAUUUAACAAGGUAUAAAACAAGUAAUAUUUCUAGCUUCCUGCCAUAAUAGAUUUGUUAUUAUGUGUCUGCCUUGCCAAAAGAAAAAAAAAAACUCACAUCCUCUUAUUUUCCCUAGGCAUCUUUGUAACACAUGCAUGCUAUUGGAAUUACAGGAAUUUCAUAAGAAUCAAUUCAGUUCCUACAUGGCUUUAAGAAAAAAAAGUACAUCGUAUAGUCAAAUGGUCUUAGGUUACUUCUUGUCUCAACGAGUAUGAAUUUGACCAUAAUGGGUGCCUCCGAGAAUAACCAAACGAAACGUGACAGGCAGACUAGGGGCGUUAUGGGGACUUUCUUUCCGUUGAAAUAGGCGUUAUGCAGUAUUGGAGAUGCCACACAUGGUACGAUUAAGGGAUUUCUUUUCCGUGUUACUAGUAGAGUGCACGUGCAGCACGCAUGUGUCUUUAAAAAUCCUGUAAAUAAAAAAUGUUUGUUUAAAAAAAAUGUUUUCAAAAAUCUAUUAAAGACAGUGUUGAUACCUAAAUUGCUUUUUGACCUUUUGGAUAACUCUCGUCAUCAAUUACAUUGGUACUUAUGAAAUAUCACUGGAAUGGAAAGCUCUAUUCGAAGCUCCAAGUGCAAGCAGUAACUUAAUUUCAGUUUUAUGCCUCUCCCUUUCCCUCUCCUACAGUUUUAUGAACAACUCUAUCAUUCUCUCUCCAUCUCCAUCUCCAUCUCCAUCUCCCUCUCCCUCACUGGCCAAAGGCAGAAAAAAUCAUGAUACUUGAGAUAAACCUCCAAAACAAACUAUACCAUAUGCUACAUCCAAACAUAUAUUUUAGACUGAAUUUUACCGAGGUGAUCGAUAAAACACCCAAGAAUUAGAACAAGAAAAAGAUAUCUGUACCUCCACUCAACAAAAUUAUUUGCAACCACGCUAUAUUUCAGUUACCAAUUAGUGGAAAAAAAUCUGUGACUUGCUACUAUGCUAGAAUGCUAUUCUUCUAAACCAAAAACCGAUAAUUAACCAAUCUAAAAACCUGAGAGAUUUCAAUGAAGAAAAAACUAAAUCUGUGCCAAAGGUCACCCAAAGAUGCUAACCCAAACUAGAUGGAGUAAAAAGAUGUCGUUGCUAACUAAAUUAAGAUAUAUGGCCAAGUGUUAGGAAGAGAUCAACCUUUAGAUUCAGCCAAAGGCUAUGUGCAUAAGGAAAUGAUGCCCACUCAAAGGUAACUGUUUGAUAGAUUCGAAUAUGCACUAUGCAAAUUUAAACAGAGCAAUAAAUUGUGAUGGUUCAUCAUGCUAAUUUUCAAAACAUACGGUGCCAGGUUGGGGUUCUUAUGGUGUCUUAAAGCAAUGUCAAUGAAUUUGAUAGCUUAGGACAUCUGAUCCAGUAUGGUUUUAUAUGCUGACCUAUCUACUUGAGGUCUUUGACCUUGUGAGUUUGAUCUGCACCUGCUUGAAAGAGAACAUCAUAUGGUGCUCACAAAUAAGAUGCUUCAGAAAUAAUCAUGAUGGUCUUCAGAUUCUUGACAAAAUUAUUCAUGUGUACAGAUAAGUAAUGACCAGGGAUACAUCAGAAGUACAUAAUUGUCAUGAAAAAGUUGUUUUCAGCUUGAAGCAACAUGUCGUAUGAGCUAAUUCCAAUUACAAUGCAUUACACGAAAUUAAUUUUCCAUUGUUGGACAUAUUACAUGUGGUCUCUGAUGUCCCAUACUCCUUGUGCAGCAGACAAAUGGAGUUUUAAAAGAAAGUCAUAUAGAAAAAGUCUUAUCAGAUAUCCCAGAUCCUCAUGCUGCCAUGGACAGUUACACAUGCCUCCUGUGUCCCUGAUCCUAGUACAGAUCGAUGCACUUAGCAUCCCCACAAUCGAACAUGAUAGGAAAAUGGAAGAAGCACAAUCAGGUUUCUUUCCUAGGGAAAGAAUAGAAAAUUAUGUAAAACACAGAAAAACAUGGCAGAAGAGUGCACGCUUCACAGUUUCCCUUAUGAUUAGCUCCAUAUAUCAUCAUCUGUGUUGGCAUUCACAGGAUAUAUCAUCAUUUGUAUGCUGCAUUGCAAGCUGUUUAGCUUAAAGAAUUUUUCUCUCUUGAAGUAUGUUAACCAAGACAUACAUACCAUUUCUUGGUAAGCAGGAUGAAAGAGAGAAAAAAAUAGUGAUGAUCUCUGCACAGGAAAACAAGGCCUCUUUAAUUUCCUCCAUAAAAGGCAGUGAAAUGCUUUAGCAACAAUGUAAAGGUUAUAGCUUAUACUUACUGAGUAGCAGCAGUUUUUCUGACAUGCUUGCAUUGUUCUGAAAACCUGCAAGCUUUCCAUCGAAACUGAAAUUAUGAGAGUGUUGAUAACCUGAUUCUUGAUAUUCCAUUUCCAUCUGCUAAAGAAUUUUUUAACAAGCUGCUUUCAACAGUUAUAUCUGAAGGUAAAGGAAAUCCAAACUUUGGCAAGAUAGAAUCAACAAGGGAGCUCCUGUUUAAAGGCAGUUUACAUUUUAAACUUCAAAUCCUCACAUCUACCAGAAAGUCAAUUAGCUGAUCUGAAUGUAGGGUACCAAGUCAGAGAUGCAAGCAAACACUAACAAUCUUCGUCUCACAAUGACAGCUUAAGAGAUCCAAAUAAUUCUGAAUUCAUUGGUAAUUGGUAUUUUGCAAAGUGCAACUUCAAUAAGAAGCAUACAUGUCGCAUUGAGAAUGAAAACUAAAUGAUCGGAUCUCUAAAAAAGACCAUAGGGUUAAAGUAGGGACUAUAACAAGAGGGUACGGGAUGUAGCAAAAGGGUAUUCCCAUCCUAGAUAAUUUAUUUCAAAUAACUGGAUGUUGAUCAAUACUGAUAGGAGCGGAACAACUACAGACCUAGAUCAGGAAGUCCUGCCGGAAUUUACAUGACUGUAGGUCACCAAUUUCAUCAUAUUCAUGCGUGAUGAUCAAACUUCGCAACGAACUCGAUUGAAUUAUCUUACAGGAAUGAAAACUGCAGGAUGGCAUGAGUGUGUUUCCUUACCUGCAAAAGUUGGAAUCAACCGAAGGCCGGCAGUUCUCUAUUCCACGCAGAGGCGAUCCGCGAGGUAAAGGUCGGGGAUGAGCACGAAGAGGACAUCGGGGAUAAGCAUGGCUACACAGUGUAGGUGUUUAGAUCCGACAACCUAUUGAGAAGGUACCCGAGGUAGUAUUUUAUGCGUGGGGCUUGCUAAGAUCAGGAACUCGAAGAUGAACUCGAACACACGAUUUAGACAGGUUCGGACCACUUAUGUCGUGAAAUACCCUACGUCCUGUGUGUUGGUUAAAUUGUAUUGAUUGAAGUUGUUUGGAGGAGUCCUUGCCUCGUCUUGUAUUACUGUUGCUGGGGUAAGGUCGGUUAUUUUAUAAGAGUAUUAGUCGGAUUCGACUAGAGGUUCCACUCUAGUUGCUACGAGUAGUUUUCUAAUCCUCGACUAGUUCUUAUCCUUCACGUAGACCAUAUCGUCCUGCGUCGUAGUCUUCAUGUCUGACACCUCUCAGUAUACAACCCCGUAUCUAGGAUUGUCCAAGCCUCCCGGUGGGCUCAUAAAUGUAUGGCCGACAAGCUCCCGAGUACAUUUUAGUGAAAUGCAGCAGUCCUGAGUACUUCUGUAGACGUCUCUAACUAGUUUGUGGUGUGCUUCUUUGAGUACUCCAUCGGAUUGGAUCUUUGAAUGCGCUCGAGUACUGCCAUGCGGCUAGAAGGUGCUCAAGCCUCAUUUGACUUAGUCUUGAAUCUUGAAUCUUGAAUUUUAGAUGGAAGUACGAUGAAAAUCGCACUUCAUAUGGAGUAGCCCCCAAGCCUUAGGUUGAAUCGAAGAAUCAGGCUGAGGUUCAAUCUUUUAAUUUCACAUCUUUUUUUCCUUUAAAAUCCAAAAAAAACUUUUUGUCCAAUGGGCACGUGGCACACAGCCCCCGAGCCGUUACACGACUAGUUUGGGGUAUAAGGGUCAACCUUUGGUCAACAUGACCAUUCGACUUCAGUAACCUUAUCUUUUCCAAAAAAAUUGGAAAUUGUUCCAGCAAAAACUGAGAGUUUUUUAAAAAUGGAAUAUUCCCCGUAAUUUUCAUCUCUUGGUUAACUGUGCCACGGUUCUAAAUAAUGGAGGGACUCAUCCCUUUCCAUUUCACCCAAGCCAUUGCGCCCAUUCAUCUCCUGCACUGUAGCCCUAGCGCCACCACUUGCCAUUCUCGAGCUCAAGUGCCCUCCUCCUCCACUGCCUAGCCCCGUGCUUAUGCGCAAGAAGAUCUGUGUGGCAGUGGCACUGAAGAAAGCAUCGUCUAGCAAGGAGGCAGAGACAAAGAAGCACAAGACCACCAAGAAGGAGAAAGAGCUCCAGCUGCCGACACCGAAGUACGGCAAGACGGAUCAGACGGUGUCGGCUAGGCACCCCUGGGCCCACUAGAAGACUUACGGACCCACUCAAGGGAACCUACCCGAAAUCUAAUUGGACAUGAAGCUACCCGGCAGGGCACGUAGACUUCAUUUAAUCGGACAUGAAGACUACCCUGCAGGACGCGUAGACUUCAUUUACUCCCCGAAAACUAGUCGGGUCAGAAGGAAACUGCUCUACCGAGUUCGAGUAGGACUCUGUAAAAUGUACUCGACUAGGAAUUGUACAAUCCGCACUGUAACCCUACUCCCCCGACUAUAUAAGGGCGGGCAGGGACCCCCUCCAAAACAGAGAACACAACUCGAUCCAAGUUCAAUACAAAACAACAUACAGGACGUAGGGUAUUAUGCAAUCUAGCGACCUGAACCUGUCUAAAUCGUGUUCCUUGCGUCACCCUGGACUCCUUGAUUCUCGACGACACCCACCACAUAAAAGACCACCUAGGGUACCCUCUAGGCGGGUUGCCGGUCUAAAACAUCGAUAGUUGGCGCGCUAGGUAGAGGAAGUCGCCGAGUUUCUCCGCGCGAGAUCGAUGGCACCAGUCGUCAUCAAGCCUGUUUUUUCCUUUAAGGCGGGCGCAACCUUCGUCUUUGGCUUCUGGCUUUGCAUCGCUUAAGGCACUGGAUCUUUUCAACACCACAUCAUCGGCAACCAGGAAAAGAAGCACGUCGACGAGAAUUUUUCUUCAAACAGAGGAUCUCGCCAAGAAAAUUCAAAAUUUCAACGUCAACGACAACGAGAUCGACUAUGGUUCGGACUCGACCUCGACUCGGACUAGCCCACACAGGCUGACGCCCAAGUUAUCCCGCAAGUCGAUUUCAACUCGAAGUCGAUUCCCGCACGGACUCCGCAACACGGCCAUGGUCCACCAAGGUUUUCUCACUCGAAUCCAAUCUGAACCCGAGUCAGUCAAGGACUGCGACUACGACUCGGACUACAUCCAAGAGAUCCCUUUAUUAGGCCCAGCUCAAGGCUUAGUAAUUACUUCAACCCCACAUGAAAGAUUCGUUUAUUGGCCUGAAAUGAAGCCAUCUUUCACAGCCCAAGAUCACGAGUCACGCCUCGUCGCUCACAUAGACAACCUCCCGUAUCAGGAAGGCAUCCCGCUUACUUCAACAUACGAAGAAGGAAGAACUAUGGAGAUUGCAACAUCAAGCUCUGGAAGCUACUACCCGGACAGAGAAAUCUUUAUCAUCACAUCACAAAACAACGAUGCGGGCGCUAGCCUCCAGAGAACUCCUCGACGAGUUACACAACUCGAUGACAUCUCAUAAGACGAAUCAUCAGCUAACGCCCCACAAGAUGAAACUUCUAAACAAAGAAAUCAAAGAAGAGCACGCAAUGCUUCUUGAGCAGAUCGUCGCCGACUACUAGCUACAAACAUUCCUAUCAUAAACCUCGAAAGAGCAUUCAACGCAGUGCAAGCUCGAGAGCACAACACUCCACUUGCAGCAAUUGCCUCAAUCAAUCUCAUAUCAUUUCUUAUACCUCAUGACAGAGACAACGAGUUAGCACCACAACUCGCAGAACGAGGCAACAGGUUAAUAGCACAAUUUGCAGAGCAAGCUUACAAAUUACUCUACAAAGAAUCUCCAAUCCCAUCUGUUCCUCGCAACUCGGCCCAUCAAAAUGGCAGCAGAGACAUCACAGUCCACGGUGGCCAUUGCGAGGCCCCAAGAAAAAGUAACGAAGUAGUCAACCAGCCAAAGCAACAUAGUCAAAGGCAAAACAGAGAGGAAUGCGAGAUCCCAAGGCAAAAUAAGGAUGCAGGAGAAGCUACCUGCACUAACUCUACAAAGAGCCCUCAUCACUACAGAGCUGAUCGCAAAGCUUCAAUUUUUAUUGACCUAAGAGAGGUCAUCAAUAAUAACCGUUGCCGCGAACGCGAAGUCGAUGACUAUAACCAUUUCCCCGCCUUCACCACACGAGUAAUGAGGACCAAACUACCCAAAAAGUUCAAGCCAAUAGGGAUCACCAAGUAUGAUGGCAAGCAAGAUCCAAUCCAAUGGCUACGGUGCUACUCACUAGCAGUUCAAGCAGCCGGGAGCAAUGAUGAUACAAAGGUCAUUCACUUCCCCAUAUGCAUGGAACCUACACCGUUAACAUGGCUUGAGUCACUCAAGCCCAGAUCCAUCGACUCCUGGGAAGACUUGACAAAGGCUUUUACCAACAAUUACUCGGGCUCCAUGUCUCAUCUAGGCAACAAAGUUGAUUUAAGUCAAGUCAAACAGGAAGAAAGUGAAACACUACGCGACUAUCUACGACGUUUCUUUGAAAAGAAAGCUACAAUAGUUGACAUUUCAAAAACAGACGUCAUUGAGUGCUUUCAAAAUGGCCUUUAUGAUCAUUGAACAUACCAGGACUUUGGCAGGCGUCGACCAGCCACCAUCAAAGAUCUCAAAAUCAUGGUACAACAAUGGGCAGAUGAAGAAGAUAAAGAACAUGAAAGAUUUGGCUCUCAUCACAACCGUGGUCGUGACAACAACAACACUCAUGAGCAAGACAGAAGCUGAAACAAUGAUACUAGAAACAACUACCCGGGUAAUCAGAAUUGCAAGCGCAAACCUGAUAACACUGUUGCAACUAUGACCAACUCAGGCAAAAAAGGGUCACACAAAUGCCAUGAUGGGCCCUCCUUCACUGAGUUACUCAAGAAACAAUGCCCAUGGCAUCCGAACAGCAAACACUCAAUGAUAGAUUGCUACAGCAUGCGCCAAGUAAUGCAAGAAUUACCUGCACCACCCCAUCCCGAAGUCUUUGCUCAAAAGAAGGACAAGGGUAAGGGCAAAGUCAACAAAGAUGACGAAGGUGAAGGCGAGUUCCAGACUGCCUCUAAAACAGUCAACAUCAUUUUUGGUGGAAUCCCGGGUACCACAUCCAAGCGGUCUAAUAAGUUAGUACUCAAAGAGAUUAUGGCUAUCCAGCCAGUAGCUCCCACACCAGUCAAAUGGUCUGAGGUACCCUUAACUUUCAGCAGAAAGGACCAAUGGACAAGUUUCUCAGAACCAGGACAUUGCCCUCUAGUACUCGACCCUAUCAUUGCAGGCUCAAGACUGACCAAGGUACUCAUCGAUGGUGGAAGCGGACUCAACAUCAUUUUUGCCAAAACACUAAGGAAAAUGUGCCUCGACAUCACUAACAUGCUCACUCCAACAGACUCCUUCUAUGGGAUUGUCCCAGGAAAUGCGGCUAUACCACUAGGACAAGUCAUCCUACCAGUCACUUUCGGCACCAAGGAACAUUACCGAACCGAGUACAUCAGGUUCGAGGUCGCCGACUUUGAAACUUCUUACCACGCCAUACUCGGCAGGCCAGCCCUGGCCAAAUUCAUGGCCAUACCACAUUACGUGUACCUGGUACUCAAGAUGCCGGGACCUAAGGGCGAGUUGACACUACGGGGAGACCUAAGGCGAAUACGAGUGCAACACAGAAGCUGUAGAAAUUGCAACGACUUCUCAAGCACCCAGCCCCAUGCAACAAGUCUUCUCGGCUUCAAAGAAACUCAGCCCCACAGAACUCGAGAUCCCAGAAAACAAGUUAGGAUCAACGAAAGUAAAACCAGCAAGCGAAAAGGACUUCAAAACUGUCGAUCUCCAGACUGGUGACUCAUAAAAAACUGCCCUGAUUGGAACAGGGCUAGACCCUAAAUAGAAAAAUGCGCUCGUCAGCUUUCUUGGGCUAACCACGACAUCUUCGCUUUGAAGCCAGCUGACAUGCCCGGUGUGCCCAAGGAGCUGAUUGACCAUUCACUAAACGUCGACCCCAAAGCCACCCCAAAAACACAAAGACUACGAAGGUUCGCCCAAGAUAGAAGAUAUGCAAUCAAAAAAGAACUAGCCAAACUACUCGCAGCAGGGUUCAUCAAAGAAGUUUUACAUCCUGAUUGGCUAGCCAACCCAGUACUCGUGCGCAAGAAAAAUAAUGAGUGGAGGAUGUGCGUCGACUACACAUAUCUCAACAAACAUUGCCCAAAGGACCCCUUUGGACUACCUAGAAUUGACCAAGUAGUCGACUCCACAGUUGGGUGUGCUUUACUUUGCUUUCUCGACUGCUAUUCAGGUUAUCAUCAAAUAGCCCUCAAAGAAGAGGAUCAAGCCAAAACAGCUUUCAUCACCCCGUUUGGUGCAUUUUGCUACAAAACAAUAUCUUUUGGACUAAAAAGUGCAGGGGCAACGUAUCAACGCGCCAUAUAGAUGUGUUUCGAGAAACAACUACACCGCAACGUAGAAGCUUAUGUAGACGACGUUGUCGUCAAAAUAAGAAAUCCGGAUGAUCUAGUCACAAAAUUAGAAGAAACCUUUGCAAGUCUUCGAGCAUUUCGGUGGAAACUUAACCCUACCAAAUGUGUUUUCGGUGUACGUUCCGGAAAAUUACUCGGAUUCAUUAUUAGCCACCGUGGCAUCGAGGCCAAUCCAGAGAAAAUAUCUGCCAUCACAAAUAUGCAAGCUCCAGCUGGCAUCAAGGAUGUGCAGAAGCUCACAGGCUACAUGACAGUACUUAAUUGAUUCAUCUCAAGACUUGGAGAACAUGGAUUACCCUUCUUCAAGCUACUCAAAAGACAGGAAAAGUUUCAGUGGACAGAGGAAGCAGACAGAGCCUUGACACAGCUCAAGGACUUUUUGUCAAAACAACCAAUCCUCACGGCUCCAUCUCUAGAUGAAGACUUGCUCCUGUACAUAGCUGCCACUACUCAUGUCAUCAGCACAACAAUAGUAGUCGAAAGGUCUGAACCAGGCCAUGUCUACAAAGUCCAGAGACCCAUCUACUUCGCCAGUGAAGUACUUUCGGACUCCAAAACCCAGUACCCACCGGUACAGAAGCUACUCUACGCAAUCCUACUUACUUCACAAAAGCUGCGACAUUACUUUCAAGAACACACCAUAUCCGUCAUCACCGACUUCCCACUGGGCGAAAUCCUUCACAACAGGGAUGCAAUGGGUAGGAUCUCCAAAUGGGUGGUAGAACUCGGAGCUCUAUCUCUAGACUUCAAACCCAUAACAGCUAUCAAAUCCCAAGCUCUGGUUGAUUCCAUGGCAGAGUGGAGGGAAAACCAUGUACGAAUACCAGUCGAAAGGCCAGAAUAUUGGGUUAUGUACUUUGACGAUUCCCUCAAGCUUGAAGGCACUGGCGCAGGAGUGCUCCUAAUUUCUCCAAAGGGUGAACAACUAAAAUACAUUCUCCAGAUCUUUUGGGAAGUUUCAAAUAAUGAAGCCGAGUACGAAGCACUACUACAUGGUCUUUGUCUCGCAAUCUCACUCAGAAUCAAACGACUACUGGUAUAUGGUGACUCACUAGUCGUCAUUAACCAAGUCAAUGAUGACUGGGAUCGCAACAAGGAAAACAUGGACGCCUACUACAAGGAAGUCUGCAAGCUAGAAAACAAGUUAUCAGUCCUAGAGUUCCACCAUGUCAUCCGCAACAACAAUGUAGCUGCUGAUGUGUUAUCAAAAUGGGCUCAACACGUGCAGAAGUUCCAGGAGGGAUUUUUGUACACGAGCUUCGCAAGACCUCCAUACCAGAACAAUUUACUCCAGCAACUACCACAACAAAACCUCCAGAACCCAGCCGAGAGAUCAUGAUGAUCGAAGUCGACUGGAGAUCACCAUUCAUCGACUACAUUAAGGAACAAUAGCUACCAUCUGACAAAAACCAAUCCGAACAAGUCUCACGAUGAGGAAAGAGCUAUGUUCUAGUUGGAGACAAGCUCUACAGAAGGAGCGCAUCUUCUGGAAUACUCAUGAAAUGUGUCACCCGAGAAGAAGGCCAAGAAAUCAUGGAUGAAAUACACAAAGGAAUUUGUGGUAAUCACGCCUCUUCACGAACAAUUGUAGGCAAAGCUUUCAAAGCAGUCUUCUAUUAGCCUAUGGCACUUGCCGACGCGAAACAGCUAGUUCGCAGAUGCCAAGGCUGCCAAUUCUUUGCCAAGCAACAGCAUACCCCCGCCUACAAGCUCAUCACAAUACCUCCAACAUGGCCUUUCGCAUGCUGGGGGCUUGACAUGAUACGCCCACUCCCAACUGCGCUAGGAGGGUUCAAUCGAGUACUCGUAGCCAUCAACAAAUUCACCAAGUAGAUUGAGGUCAAACCUGUCACUUGUCCCAAAGCUGACCAAGUCCUCGACUUCCUUGAUGAGAUUGUGCAUCGAUAUGGCUUCCUCAACAGGAUCAUCACUGAUUUGGGAUCUAACUUCAACAAUCACGACUUCCGGGAAUACUACGAGAAUAACGGAAUUGACGUAUGAUACGUCUCCGUCGCUCACCCAAGGGCCAAUGGCCAAGUCGAACAUGCCAAUGGCAUGUUACUCGAAGCUCUCAAGAAAAGGUUGCACGACAUUGGCAACACGAAAGGAGGCAAGUGGCUCAAUGAACUACCCAAUGUUCUUUGGGGUCUGCAUACUCAACCAUGCAAGCCUACUGGGCACUCUCCCUACUUCCUCGUAUAUGGGUCAGAGGCCAUCCUCCCUGCAGACAUCAUGUGGCAGUCUCCCGCAGUUGAACAGUAUGACGAAGGAGUAUCAGAAGAAACAAGACGCCUAGACCUUGAUAGUCUGAAAGAAACAAGAUGUGCAUCAAUGGUUCAGUCAGCCAGAUAUCUUGAUGGACUACGAUGCUAUCAUGAUCGUAAUGUCAAAGAACGUUCUUUCAACGUGGGUGACAUGGUCCUUAAACGCACCCAAGACACAUCAGGAUUGCACAAACUCAACUCACCAUAAGAAGAUCCUUACGUCAUAUCCAAGGUCACAGAGCGUGGAUCAUACCGGCUAUAGGAACUCUCAGGCAAAGAAAUACAAAACUCUUGGAAUAUAGAGCAUUUGUGUCACUACUACCCAUAGCAGACUGCAGGGUAUGUACCCGGGUAUUCACUCACAGUUUAUUAAACAAUAAAGUUCUCGGGCAAACACUUUGCCUCCGUUCGGCUAUUCACAGCCACUCUAGAUCUACAGCUCUGCGAGCCCCAACGCUUCGCUUUUGACUUGAUUCCAUCAAGUCUCUUCGAGUCAUCACAACUCGUCGGCUAUUCAUAGCCACUCGAGCUCUAUAGCUCUGCGAACCCUAGCGCUCCACUUUUGACUUGAUUCCAUCAAGUCUCUUUAAGUUAUCACAACUUGUCGGCUAUUCAUAGCCACUCGAGCUCUAUAGCUCUACGAGCCCCAGCGCCCCACCUUUUGACUUGAUUCCAUCAAGUCUCUUCAAGUUAUCAGAACUCGUCGACUAUUCACAAGCCACUUGAGCUCUACAGCUCUGCGAGCCCCAACGCUUCGCUCUCGACUUGAUUCCAUCAAGUAUCUUUGGGUUAUCACAACUCGUCGAGCCAUUUGAAGCUUUUCAGCUGAGUUCCAAUACUCUCACCUCUACAAGACAAACGGCUUCAGCAAGCCACGACUAUUGCGUUAGUCAUUUUUACCCUUCAAAAAAAAGCACAAGACUCGCAAUUAUCAGACAAGGAGUACUCAAGUUUACUUCAUAAUUGCAUCCUUUGCAUUAACAAAGCUCCACAGAGUUACAUUCGACUAUUCAAUGAAGCUAGGGUAUACAAAAUACAACACAAUGGCACAACGACUACAAGCAGUUGCCUACUGGCAGUCAGAAUAGAAGUCCUAGGCUUUUACUAUAUCACAAGGAUACACAGGCCUGGUGACUUCUCGACUACCAAGGUGCAAGCAGUGUCAAAAGGCAGGACCUGCACACGAGGAAGCUACGCAAUACGCAGCCAUAACCUGGUCCUCUUCCCUGACAACACCAGGAAUUCCUUCACCGCCGCUCCCUUGACGGCGACAAAGAUCAGGAAGAAAAGUACCAAGAAGAUGAAGUGCACUACCCGAGCUGCUCCCUGGACAGCUUCAGUGCACAGAUCCACACUGUAUGCAACACCUCCACCUCUAAUCAGAGAGCCGGAUAAAGACCGCGGCGCUCAUCACCCAUCACCCGCGAGUUCCAGCGCGGACUGAGCUGGAUCAGGACUUGCAAGAUGAGGCACGCGACAAACCCUCCUAUGAGGAUUCUUCUAGCAUCGCGGCUAUCCCUACGAGUGCAGGAGUCUGUGGAGGGAAGGUGGCUCUAAUUUAUGAGGAAUCUUCUAGCACCGGGGCACUCUUUGGAAGGUCUCUACUAUCAAACAAAAGUAACCUAAAGCAAGCCAUCACCAUACUGAAGGGCACGAUCCUGGUCGAGUACCCAGGGGCUUAUUUAUAGCUGAAGGGCCACAGCCGCCAACUACUUAGAGUUACCGCUUGCUUGUGACGAUCAGCUUGAGACACUGACAAACGACGGAUAGACACUUUAACUACAUGCUCGUGACCGCACCGAGCAUAGAAGACAAAAAUGAACAGUUCACCCGUGCAUCGCCCCAAGUACAAAGCAAUAAAAGUCACAGUACCUUCAACAACAACUCCAAUAAUUGAAGAGCAUACCGGAUACUACGACUACUCAAUUACUCGGAUUUGUUUUCCCAACUACAAAGCCAAUCAAAUGAAGAUCAUCGAUCACAGAACUCAAAUAAACAAGAUUUACAAGGCAAAUUGUUUAAGUACACCAACGAGUACUCGACAAUAAAUAUCACUCAAGUUCAAAAGAUCAGGGUUCCUCCAAAGAUACAAACUCAGACAUCUUUGCCGCAAUCGGCUCAGCCUCCUUAAGAUACUGCACAUAGGCAUCCUUUGUGCAGUUCUAGGCAACUCCAUCACCAGCCGCCGACAAGUCUGCCCUCGAGUAAUACGGCUUGACCACUGCAAGGACUUGCUUGCAGACAGUCUUAAAUAGUCUAGCAACUCUACCCGGGGUAGCUCUUAGUCUCUCGACCAGCAAGCGAGGCUCAGCAUCAUCUUCAAGUGGAGCACUGGCGUUGACUACAUCCUGAGCAGCAGCAGUCAAAUCCUGAAGAUCUCCUUCUAGCCGUUCAAUAGUUCUACCAUGGCUUUUGCAGGACACCAUAGCCAACGCCAGCAUCACUCCAUUCCGAUUCUUCCUAUCUUUCUCACACUCAUAGGCCGCUUGAGUUUCAGCCAACACUUUCCUAAGAUGGGCAGCCUCGUCAGCUACCCAAUUUUGAGCAUUUCUCCAAUCAAGCAAUUGACUACUCGUAGCGGCCUCUUUGCUUUUAAGCUCUGCGCCAAAAACAUCAUAGAUCAGAAUUUACAACUACAAUCAAACAUACUCAAGAACUAUGAGUACUCACCUUGAUAUCUCUAGUUCAGAGAUCAAUAACGACUCUCCAAUCAUUACUGGAGGACUUCAUGAUCAUUCCUUUCAAUUGCAAAAGACUUGGCAGCCUCCUCAUGAACUCUCAGGGAAUCUGCAAGGUGGUGACACUCUUGCUCCAGUUGCGCUACCCGCUGCAGGGCUUCACUGCGCUCUUGAAGAGCUCAAGUGUUUCUCUGAGCCUUGUCAUACAGAUCCUUCAACACAAAACAAGUCGUCAAGACUUGUCAAAACACAAAAAGAUAGAAAAUGAGUUAUGACGCACCUCAAAGCUUUUGAUAACUCUCCUAAUCUCCGACUCUGGUGGCAAUUCGAAUACUGGACCACUAGUACUCUUGGCAACUUCAAGCUCCAGCUCUCUACCCACAACAAACUCUGAAGACAAACCAUGAUCAGCCACUAGAAACAAGAGAGUACCCCUUCCAAAAAACAUCUACGUACUUGUUGUGCCGACUUCACGCACUUUUGUUGCAACAACUAGAGACAAAGCUUUAGCACCAGUUGUACUCACAGUGGACGCAACUUCAGUCGUUGAAGGCGGCACACCUGAAAAACUCUCGGGGACUGACGGGCCCACUACUGAGCGGAUAACCUCCUGAAGCAUGGAUAUAGUAGCACCUAGACAACUUGCGUCGUCAAUCUCAGGUGCAUCAUCCAUAGUCAAGUCGACCAUGGGCCUAGAGAGUAUAGCUGGCGGAUUAGCCUCCGUCCCCACCUCCAAAGGAAUAAUGUCUUCUGCAUCCCUGGAUCACCCAAGUCGCAAGAUCAUAAUCUGACUACAGAGUACAAAAUCAUCAAGAGGAAAUAUUACACAAACCCUUACUGAGAUGAUCGCGGUGGCAAACGAACACGCUUCUUCUUGGCUACCACCGGCUGGAUACUCGGCACCACUGGGGCUGCGGGAGGAAGGUCCUCCACUCCGUCACCAAGACCUGACAAAACCAAGGUUGAGACUACGUACGCACGACUACCAGAAUAGAUUGCAUACUCACCAUCGGCAACAUUGUCAAACAACAAAGCGUCAGCAGCCAUCCCUGGUGUCUUCAGAGCAUCUGCCAUCAGAAGUUGUGGCCUCAUCACCUAGUGACUUGAUAGCCUGCUCGGGGGCUACCAACUCGGGGGCUAUUGGUGCAGAAGCUACCUGCUCAGCGGCAGUUGAUCCCGAGUUCAAAGGCGGCACCUCCAUAGGCGGCUCUUCUAAGCCAUGAUGCUAGUAGUUGCGUCUCUAGCAAGCAUAACUACUUCAUCAAAAGUAGCCUCAUCAUCACCAAAGGUCAACUCGGCAGCCUUUUCAACACACAGACUAACAUCGUCAGUAUUCUGCAAAUAAUACGAUUGUCAACGAAAAACUCAAAAAAAAAA